UCUUAUGGAUGAGCAAAGAAAGUGGUCUUUUGAGAUGGAAUCUACUGCUGAAGAUGCUGUGAA
rnacentral:pre_miRNA from 1 species